rnacentral:rRNA from 1 species
CCUACGUGAGGCAGCAGUAGGGAAUAUUGCUCAAUGGGGGAAACCCUGAAGCAGCAACGCCGCGUGGAGGAUGAAGGUUUUCGGAUUGUAAACUCCUUUUGGUAGAGAAGAUAAUGACGGUAUCUAACGAAUAAGCACCGGCUAACUCCGUGCCAGCAGCCGCGGUAAUACGGAGGGUGCAAGCGUUACUCGGAAUCAUGGGACGGAUAGAGCGCGUAGGCGGGAUAGCAAGUCAGAUGUGAAAGCCUAGGGCUUAAACAUAGAAAUGCAUUUGAAACUGUUAUUCUAGAGUAUGGGAGAGGUAGGUGGAAUUCUUGGUGUAGGGGUAAAAUCCGUAGAGAUCAAGAGGAAUACUCAUUGCGAAGGCGACCUGCUAGCACAUAACUGACGCUGAUGCGCGAAAGCGUGGGGAGCAAACAGGAUUAGAUACCCCUGUAGUC